CAGUAAUUUCUCUUUUAUAAGUCUAUUAUGGAGUAAAUUAUUCAGAAAUUGGAUGCCCAAGGAUGUUCAGUGCAUUGUUAUUUAUAACAGCAGAAUAUGAAACAGAACCUAAAUAUCAAACAAGAAGAAAGUACUUGAAUACAUUAUGGGAUGGAGCAUGGUGAGACUGUGGAUCAAGCCCAGCAGUAUUGAGCCAGCCCAGGCAUAAGGACAGCCUUUAAAUGGACUCAUAGGCAUUCCUCCUGUGGGAGGUUGGGGAGCCAAGAGCCUCAUCAUGGAAAUCCGUGCUUUCUCCAACACCAAAAGUACCAACUGGGACAUAUAGAGCCUCAGUGGGUGGAAUCUGGUCAUCUGUUGUUUUAGAAAGGUCAAAGGCAGUUCGGAUUUACGUGAAAAUCCCGGAACAAUGUGUGUAUGAUAUGACUUGGUCUCUAGGUCAGCCCUCCUCUCCAUCGAGUACUUCCUUUUACUUGAGUUUCCUUUUACAUCGAGUUUCAACUUUUACUCUCUGUGAUUGGCCACGCUCCCGGACAGCAUUUACAAUCGGGAGACCUCUGAGAGAACUUUUUAGACUAUCCCUAAGAGCCAGGAUGGGUUCCUCCUUCCUGUGAGAACAGCCCCUGACACUUAACCUCGGUGGGUCUCUGCGAAGGAAUGAGGAAGUGGGUGGCAGCUGUGUGGUUUGCAAGCCUAUACUUCUGUGUUCUAUUCUGCACUCUUAGUUGUCGACUAACACCUGUUUUGCUUCUCAAAUCCAGCUUUCACUGGGUUAGGAAUUGCUUUAUAGAUAUUAUAGUGACUUAUCAAUAAGAAUCCCGGACGGGAAUAAACGCAGGCUCCAGCGCAGUGCUCUUAUGCUCCUUUAACAGUCACAGCGUGAUAUAACGGGUUUGUCAAGCAAGUAGCAGGGCAGCGUGGCUGCCAAGGAUCGAGUGACGUCCUGACCCAGCCUCUGCACGUCUCACAUGACUGACAAUGCCUGGGUUAUACAGAGUAGCUCAGAGUGUGGAUGAAAAGGCUACAAGAUGAGGCUAAUGGAGUGGUACUUGAACUCCACCUCCGCUGGCGCGGAGGGGAGAGCGGUAGCAGAAGAUGAGGAGUGCGGAGGGAAAGCCACCGGGUGCGGAGGAAAGCGGAAAGGCAGGAGCGGGAGAGCCGUGGCCAUUUUCAUGUGUUUAGCUCCAGCUCGGCUUAUACAUUAGAGGACUGAUGCCCUCUGUGAACUUCUGUGGGCAGAACCAGAACUGUUUAAUGAAGAAGUGAUUUUUAGUGCUUCAUUCCCAUCUAGAGAUCCAUUUGAAACAGAUCAUCAUUAGCUUUAUGGUUUUAAUUGUAUUGAAAUCCCUUAUUGUAACCUAUCGCUUUAUUGUGCAAGUCCAUUAACCUGGGUGCCAUGGAACAUAGUUUUAGACCCGUGUUUAUAUCUGGACUAAUUACACAGUUGCCAUCAGGAUAGGAUGAGAUAUUUUUCAGAUCAGCACGGGAGAAAUUAUCUGACUCCUUUCCAAACUCCGGGGUUUGGAACAGUAUCUAAAUCGACCCCAAAAGAUGCAGAACAGUAUUCCGGGAAUGUCCUGCUUUGAAAUAUCUAUCACUCCAUCAACGAGGAACCGCUGCGUGGCACGAAUUGUUCUCAGACAGAGGCACAGACCCACUGCAUUGGACCUAAUGGGGCCACUUUGCCAUGCGCUACUCAAACACCCUGGGGGUACAGUAGCAAUCAAGAGUUCCAGUGAUACUGCCGUGCACUGCAUAGAGGAAGCUCAAUCCAGUGACGCUGCCACAUCCUUGCAUAGAUAAAACUACUCGAAUAACAUAUAUAUCCAGGGACAUCAUUUUCCUUCUCUGUUUUCAGCCCAGGUCGUGGAGCACUGCCCCCAGAUGUGCCCUGCAGCUGUAUGGGCGAGCCUUCGCUCCAGCUGUGCUCCCAGCGUGGGCACUUCCCUGUUACUGCAUCAGACUGGAAGACUCAGUUCACACACUCUGGCUUUUCUCCUCUGGAUCCUUCAGCACUGGAUGCGGCUUGCUGUGGUUUGAAUAUCCUUGGCUCAGGGAGUGAUACUAUUAGGAGGUGUGGCCUUGUUGGAGGAAGUGUGUCAUGGUGGGGUGGCCUUGGAGACCCUAAUCCUAGCUGCCCAUGAGGCAGUCUCCUCUUGUUUACCUUCAGAUCAAGAUGUAGAACUCCCAGCUCUGCCUGCACCAUGCCUACCUGGAUGCUCCCUCCCUCCUUGAUAUUACUGGACUGAAUCUCUGAACCCGUAAGCCAGCCCCAAUGAAAUGCUGCCUUUAUA